GCAAGCCUGCGCGCGCGCGGUUUACCAGGGUCUAGGUAAGAAUAUAGUGUUACACGUGAACAGAGCGACAGCGAGUCACUGGUGUCUGGCCACAGCGGCGACAGCGGCGUGGGCGUCGCGCGCGGCCGCCCGCGGUAUUGUAGCAAGCCUGCGCGCGCGCGGUUUACCAGGGUCUAGGUAAGAAUAUAGUGUUACACGUGAACAGAGCGACAGCGAGUCACUGGUGUCUGGCCACAGCGGCGAUAGCGGCGUGGGCGUCGCGCACGGCCGCCCGCGGUAUUGUAGCAAGCCUGCGCGCGCGCGGUUUACCAGGGUCUAGGUAAGAAUAUAGUGUUACACGUGAACAGAGCGACAGCGAGUCACUGGUGUCUGGCCACAGCGGCGACAGCGGCGUGGGCGUCGCGCGCGGCCGCCCGCGGUAUUGUAGCAAGCCUGCGCGCGCGCGGUUUACCAGGGUCUAGGUAAGAAUAUAGUGUUACACGUGAACAGAGCGACAGCGAGUCACUGGUGUCUGGCCACAGCGGCGACAGCGGCGUGGGCGUCGCGCGCGGCCGCCCGCGGUAUUGUAGCAAGCCUGCGCGCGCGCGGUUUACCAGGGUCUAGGUAAGAAUAUAGUGUUACACGUGAACAGAGCGACAGCGAGUCACUGGUGUCUGGCCACAGCGGCGACAGCGGCGUGGGCGUCGCGCGCGGCCGCCCGCGGUAUUGUAGCAAGCCUGCGCGCGCGCGGUUUACCAGGGUCUAGGUGAGAGGUGCGCGGCGCGCGGCUAUCUUCGUAAGAAACAAAACAUUCGUAGGACAUUUUGUUAUUAUGAGUGCCGAGGCGAAUGUGGUUAGUGAGUGACUCGCCGUCGUGGCCGCCCGCGCCGCCCAGUGACUCCGCACUCACACACACAAACACUCCGCGACCAUUACCGAGUACAAAAUUGCCAAAAAACAACCAUAUUUUUCUUGUCUUCUAUCACAAGUUACAAAACACAUUAGACUCGUUUGGUGUUUAAAAGUUGGACUUUUUAAGUGUUUAAAAAAAGAAGAUGAAUUAACGUCACCCGCUUUCCAGAAUCAACGAAAUCAUCACAAGGGGCUUUAUUAAAAUUUAAAAAGUGUUAAAAUAGUGACAUUUUGCGGGAAAUAUAUUGUUUUUUCGCCCCAAAUAGUUUGAAGCAAAAACAUAACACAUUUUGUUUAUUAAGUUUUAUUCGACAUUUUUUGUUUAUAAAAUUACAAUAAUAUGUUUAUAAUUAAAUAAUACCUAAUAUUAUGUACAUUUAAAUUAUAAUUCCUUAUUAGGUACUUACUGUUACUGAUUUUCACAAAAAAAAAUUAAUAAUUUUAAUAAUAAUUGUCGCUCAGCGAAUGUUGUAUAGAUAUCAUUUUUAUAUUUUGUAUAUAAUUUAUAUUUCUUUUGCUUGUAAAAAUAAUCAAAUAGCUGUAGAUCUGUGCGUGUUGGUCAAAUUAUAAAACAAUGUAUGUUUGGGUUAUUUUAAAAAAUAGCAACCCACCAAAAAAAAAAAUUUGUAACAUCUAUUUAAUAAAGGUACAUGAGAAUGUGAAUUUUAUGUAACAAAUCGCAUAGAUCGCAUGUAUUUGAUUUCAGUGCCUCUCAUUUUAUAUUGUGUUACUGUCUCUAUAGAUUUUGUGGACGCUACUUUUCAAAAUGGCGUAAACGAUUUCCAAAGAGUAUGUAACCUACAGAACGUACACACGAAACUUUGGUACUGUCUAUUUGAGUUUUUAGAUAUGCCCUUUGGUACUGUCUAUUUGAGUUUUUAGAUAUGCCCUUAAAAUCAGAUAUAUACUUACCGACACCUACAGGCUACAUUGGUAGAAAUAUGGAUAUAAAAUAAAUAUAUUCAAGCACCUACAUCCGUGCGUUCUGCGUUAUCUAUUAUUAUAACUUUUUAGCAGUGAAUUUUACAAGUUUAUUGCCCAAAUUAGACAUAAAAAUAAUACAACUGGCUAAAAUAAUUACUUACUAGCCAGGGAGUAGUAUCUAAAUAUUUUUUUAUAAUUAUUAUAAAUAUUAAAAAUAAUUAUGAUAAAUCAAAAUAUUUCCUAUAUUUUUGUCUUCUAAUAUAUUAAUUAAUGACGACAACAAAAUUGGUUGAUAAAUGACGAAGUUAUGCAGUAACAAACAUGAAAAAAAUAAAAAAAAAACAUACAUAACAAAGCUGAAAGUCUUACAAAAAUAUUUUUUAAUAAAUGUCAAAAUAACUUCCAUCGUGCCGCAGAUAUUAUUAAUGAGCCAAAGAUAUUAAUGUUUUCAAUUUAUUGAAAAAUAAAAAUGGCGGCAAGGAAUAUUUAGGAAAAAGUACAAGUUACGUGUGUAUGUAUUUCUGUAAUUAUGUCCAACAUCGCUGACUAACACCGUAUUGUUAAGUAUUAAUAUUCAAUGUUUUAUGAUCUCAUUUCAUUGUCACAGGCCGCUGAGAGUAAUGUGUCAUAGAAUAUGUUAAACAAUAGUUUAUUUUUCUUUUGACAUUUAAAUAACAAUGGCCAGUGUAGAAACUUAGCUUUUCUUUUACUAACAACUUUGUAUUUUUGAAUUAUUUUUACCUGGUGUAGUAUCAAUGAAGCAAUGAAAGUGACAUCUUGCGUUCAUUCAUAGACAAUAAACAAGAGCGAUAAGUUGUGAUGACAGGUAAAAAUAGUUUAGAAUAAAAAAAAACAUAUUUUAGUUGUUCUAAAAUCUAAAUUAAUGUGUUGUGGUAAAAAUAAAAUCAAAUUUUAGUUGUUAUAUCAAUAAUGUUUAAAAUUGCUUCAACUUAAAAAACAAUUGUACAUUUUUACAUACAACUUGAAUAAUCAAUCAAAGUUGAAAUAAUAUUCGUUAUUGACACAUUCACUCCAAUGGUUUCUUAUUUAUGUGGACAUUCACAUACCAAAAAUAAUAUUAUAUGGAAUGGAAAUCUGGACAAUACAAUGUGUUGAUAAAAACAAAUGCAAGAUGCAGUACACGUCACGAAAGUAAUGUUACUUUAAGGUCUAUCCAGAUAUAACAAGGUUCAUACAAUUAUAAUAUCUCGGCGAUAUUACUUAAAAUAUUUCAAAGUUUGCCAUUUCUAUUGCCUUUUCUAAUCAUUAUUUUAUUUAUUUAUAAAAGAGACUGCAAUUUAAAAAUAAAAGAGCUAAUCCUAUAUAUUUAUAUAUAAUGAAAAAAAUACACUGAAGUACAAACACUAACACAAAAAUAAUACGCAAUAUGUGCUUACCUAUAUUAUAAAUCCGAUUAUAAUGAUACUUGAAAUCAAAAACUAAGUUUUAAUUUAGUAUUACCACUAAUCCCAAUAUCUUUAACUUAGAAUGGCAAUAGAUUUUGUUUAAAAUGUUAAAUUAAUUUCUUAUGUAGAUAAUUAUUUGUGUCAUUUAAAAUCGGGCAAUAUAUUAUCUAUAGGUACUCGUGCCUACAUAUAGGUAUAAAAUCCCAACCUGCCCUAUAACCUUUAAAUUUUAAAAAAGAGCAAAGAUUUCUUAAUAUUUUUCAUUGUCAAAAAACCAGAGUAGAUUCCACUAUACUAUACUUACUAAGUACACUAUACUUACUAAGUACUCUAUACUGGCUAAGUACACUAUACUUACUAAGUAUACUAUACUUAGCUUUUGAUGUGUGUGGGUAGACCUCAAAACAACUCACUUAAGUGACGGUAACUGUAUCGCCUAGAGAAGAUUACACAAUAUAUUUUUGUUAUGACUAUUGUAUCUUAUAAUAAUAAAUUGUUAAUUCAUUUUAUGAUGAGUGAAUGGUUUCAUUGCAUAUUGUUUGAAAUCCAUUUUGUAAAGUGGCCCCUACGCUCGAUUACAAUCUCAACUACUGCAUCGGUUCUCGUAACUUAUUACGUAACUUUUAUGGUUGCUAUUAAAACCUGACCAGAAAUAAAUUACACGAAUCUCCGUCUAAAAACGAAGCUCUCAAAAUAAAGUAGCGAAUUUUAUGUUACUUUAAUUAUUAUUGAUAAUAGUAACAAAAAAAAGUUUUGUGAACCAAGCCUUAUUCUUACGUAGACAUUGUAGUUUUUCGUUCGUUUCGUCGUUUCGGUAAAAUAAUAAAUCUCUUAAAAGUUACUCUAGCACUUUGAAACUCUAAAUUUUAAAAUACUGGAUUUUUUUUUAAAUAUAUAUUUUUUUUUAAUUUAAAUUUUUGAGAGACAUACUUUGUACAGUGUGAAAAAAAACAUUGUAACUAGCAUAUAUCAACCUGCUAUGUUACCCUGGUACUUUGUUUGACGCCUUUGCGUUUCGUGACGAUUUCUGCCACUUCACGCUCCUGUAAGCGUAGUAAAAUAACUUCGAAGCCUUCGAAAAGCCGAAAUGAGGUGAAAAAUACUUCAUCAUGUCAUGCGUAACAUCACUUAAUAGCACAUAAAAUCACAGUCAAGUGCUGAAUAAAAAUAACAAUUUUCGAGUUAGAGUAAUCUAAAAAAAAUAGGUACUAUUACAAAAAAAAUAUCUUCCCAAAACCGUCUUAUUGCUCUAAGAAGACACGAGGGCUCAAAAAUAUUGGUAAGUAAAAUGGACCUACUAGCUCUUCAGCUCCGGAUUCUUUUUUCAGUUGGUUAACUCUUCUGAUGAAUCAUACCACAAAUAAAACAGUUUUAAACCAUUUAAAGUUACGUAAUACCGACACCGUUGCUUUGUUUUAUUCUUUGAAAAUUCGCGUUGUAAAUUGUUUUAGGUAUGGAUGUUGUAAUAAGUAUAGUUAUUAACGUAUGAUUAUUGAAAUGACAGUCUGAUCUCUUAUAAUAAAUGCGUUAUCGGCGAGCGGCUGAGCCGUGUAUGACCGUCGGGCGCCUCUGACAUUUGAAACCAUAAUCUAAAUAUUACGUUAGAAAUUCGCGCCAAAAUAAGUUUACGUUGAUGAGACCACGAAGGAUUUUUCAAAGCAAUGCUUCCGAGGUCGCAUUAGGUCAUCUCAUACAUAACUGCCAUGUUGACAAGUUAACGCUUCUGUCAUUAUGACAGUUUUAUGAUAAUUUGCGACUGAAAAAAAAUAUUAGUCAUGGCUGGAGUCCAGUCUUUUGAGUUGUCAUAUAAAAAUUAUUGGUGUUGAUUUUCACAUUGUUAAUAAUUAUUUUGAAUAUUAAUUAUUAUUGUUAUAUUUAAUAUUAUGUAUAAUAGAAUAUAUUUCAAUUUAUUGGUCUUUUGUAUCAACGAGUAAAUCUAGUCUACAUAUUAUUAAUUAAAUCUGUAUUAUAAAGAUAUUUUAUUGAAAUAAAUUUCAACUAUAAAGUUUUGGCGCGAUUUCAACGUAAUAUAAGUUUGUAGCCCGAUAUUUAUGUCAUCUUUUUGCGAAAUAUGGCAUUUCGUAAAUCGACUCGAUGUUGCAUUGAAAUGUAUUGGGCCAGUAAAAGCCGUAAUAUUUUGCGCACAUUUACCGAUGUUUAAACGGCACGAUAAAUAUUUUAACCAAUACAAAAAUUAAUCUACGCAUACCGUAUAGUUGCUAGGAAUCUAAAUGAAAGUAAAAAAAGUAAAUCACAGUGAUUUACUUUUUUUACUUUCAAAUACUUUUACCGUAACCAUACAUAUUUUCAGCCAAUAUCUAUCAUCCGUUUGUUUUAUUACAAUAUUGCCAAAAUUUAGAAAAAAAUAUAAUAUGGACUUGCAUAUUAAAAUUUCGAAAUAAACAUUUUGUACAUACAUACUGUCUGAAAUUUUUCUAUUCAUAAAUCGGUAAAUUGCGUGUCUAUGUCGGUCAAGCAAUGCAUCACUGAAGUUUGAUACUCGAUUGUCUUAACCUCAGACUAAGGAAUAUAAAUCACAAUAUGCUUACGAUGCGCGCCACGUAUAAUUAAAAUAUCGCUCUCCCUUUCGUUGCGAUGGGACGAAAGAAAACUUUAUUUCCGAAGCGCCGCUGUUAGUUGACAAUAUUUUUUUUCUCUCCACGAGUCAUGUCGUUGCCGCAUGCUAGGUCUAGAAGAGAGAUAUCUUUAAGUACAUUAGAAGGUCACUGUUUAAGAAUACAUUAGAACUACUGUUUAAAGUCUAUCAUUUUACCUUGGUCAGUAAUUCCUCUCUGUACCUCACUGUUAAUACGCGCAAGAUAGGUUUGCGUGUGGCCAAAAUCGGAACUAAUCAAGUGCCGCCAUCUUAUUGUCUAUCUCUCUAUCUCUCUCUAGGUGGAUAAAAGAGAAUGAGUAAGUUGCCAACAUUAUGUGCGCCGACUUACCUUACCUUGUGCAUAUAGGUACAUCAAUGGUGUACCUACCUAACUAACUAUAUUCUCAUGUCUGAGGUCUUAUCUGCGUCCGUUAUAUCCUGCCUCGACUAUGUCAAUAAACAAAUGUAUAUUAUUAUAUUAUAUAUUUAUUUCGAAAAUUAUUUAAUGUUUCACAAAUACUUUUUUAUUUUAUUUAUAUUUAGGCAGUGCUCUGUCGAUGUUUCGUUCGAACCGUACCAACUAGUGUUUCGCUUCACGCACGCCUCUUCAUUCAUACUCGGAUUCUGUAGAUACAAAGUGUUUUAUAUUUGCGACAUGAAAUUUUAAACCACAAAAAAUAAAAAUAAAAAAUAUUUAGCUGAUUCGUCAGUUAACGUGCGAACGUGGUCUAUGGCAAGAUAACCUGCCAUAGACCACGUUCGCCGCAAACAAAAUAAAUAAAAUAUUUGUUUCAAUUGGUCAAGCCGUUCUCAAGUUUUAGCGAAAUUAUGGGACAACAAAUCAUUUUUACAAUUUUAGAUAGGUAGUUACCUACAUACUGGAGUGUAUGGUCCAAGUGACGUUAAUUAGCGGGUUUUGAAAACAUUAAUUGCAGCUAGCACUUAGACCGUACAUUUAGGUACGUCUAUAAACAAAGAUUUUUUAAAAAAUACUUAGGUAACUAAUUUGUAUCUAUUAAACAUUGAUUAUAAAACUAAACCUUGUAUAUUAAGUAAUGAAAUACGUAAUAUGAACGAUUAAACUCAUGUGUCGAUCAUAUAUAAUUUUGUAUGAAUUUAGUUCACAAUUCAAUUACGAAUUACAUACGUACACUUUUUAGAAUUUUACACUUACUUAGUAUAUAUAUGGUAUAUAUUAAUAAAAUUUUAUUAAAUACCCACGCCUACUAUUUUAACUAUUUUGGUAUAUAUUUUCAAGUUAAUAAAUUUCCCACACUGGAGGGUAAUUUCUACAUUUCGGAAUAAUAUGUUCCAUACAUAUAGUCAAAGAUACAGGGGCUCGAUCGCCGUCAGUUCCACAUUUUUUUAAUUUUUAAUGCAAGUUUAAUUUUAAAAUUUAAGUAUGAAAAGGUUUUAUUUAUUAAAAGUCGGCUUGGUCACUUAUGAUACAUUUUACAACGCUAAAUAAAAAAAGAUUUUGGUAUAAAAUUUCUCUAAAGUGUCUUAAAUAAAUGAAACACUUUGCAAAUCCUAGCUCGAAGUGAUUAGCCUUCGCCACGUUCAGUUUCGCUACCGUGUUUAAAAAAAAAUGGGUAGAAGCGGCGACGGGACGCUAUAAGAGUACAAAUUCUGUAUAAGCCCCUACUUGAAUGUUAAUUCUAAACGUUAAUUUUAAGCUGGGUGCCACGAGCAUACGUGUCUAACGAGCUAUUACAAUUCGAUUAUUUAUUAAGAGAAACUAAAGUCGAUAUUUUGUGCUAUAAUAUGUUUCUCUCAAUAAUUUAACCACGGAAGAAGCUCUUCAUACAAAAUAUUUAGUAGUCACUUUCAAUACAAUUUCAACGAACCAACGUGCAUUUAAACAUUAAGUGAACUUUGUGUGAAGGUUUCAAAUCGGGACGUUCAGCGGUUCCUUCAUUAUUACGACUUUUUCUACACUUCUAUUAAAGCUGUAACAUCAAGACUCUAUGCACGUGGCACCCAGUAAUCACCACGAAACAGGGAGAAGGUAUUGUCAGAGUACUACGUGAUUCCGGAUUACGUAAAGUAGUGUAGAUAAAAAAACAAAUGAAAAGCGCGCGGGCGAUCGUAGCCUACGGUGCAGCUCUGCCUUUGGUGUUGUCUCUUCCUUAACUAAAUUUUAUCUGUAUCCUAUUGCUACAGUGUGUUUGAUUUGCUAUAUCUUCUGACUACCCUCCUCUCGUAGACGUACAAUAUAAAAUACAGGUGUACCACUGUAACGAUAGGGUAUUAGAAUUGGUGCGACGCAGUGUAAGCGCGCGCACCUCAUUAGAUAAGAAAAGUGUUAUUAUAGCCAUAGAGCAAGGACGAAGUUCGCCAUGUGACAUUGGAAUUGUAAUUGCGUAUUUAGUGACAUUAAUUUUGAUACCUGAUAUACUGGACUGUCUUUAAUGGCACAGUUAUUACAAUUUCAAUGUCACAGCGAAUAAUUUGUCCUGAUGGGAUAUUUACAGUAGAUUUUAUUCAAGUGGAUGUUUGUAAAAUAUCGUGAAUUUGUAAUCAAGUUAGUAGUUUUAAGGAUUCAGUCUAAACUCAACCACUUGCUAGCAAGCUACCUCGACUCAGAGAAGCCAGUCAUGUCACAAGUUACACUAUAUUACAAACAUUUAGUUUGUAGUAAAAGUCUCCUAAAAAUUCCCACUAGCUCUUGGCGCAUUAGCAAAAAUUGCAAUAAACCGUCAAAUCUCGCCGCUCCGCAGAUACGCGCAACUGGUCGAGCUGUAAAUUGUAAAAUUAGUCCGGUAUUGUAAAAAAAAUAUAUCACUGAUUGUAAAUAUUUGGAACCAAAAUUUUUAUACAAAUUCAUAGAUUAUAUUCUUGGACCAAGUUAGCUGGGGAGCGGCGAGAAGGGACGGUGGGACUGCAGAAAACUUAAUUGCACACCACUCUUUAGAACUUGUCUACUCCGAGUAAAAAGAAAAUAGGUCAUUAGUAUUUAUGAAGUUUUCGAGUACCAAAACACUGUAACGUAAAAUAAAUCUAAUGCUUCUAAUCUUAAAGUUUAACUUCGUCCAAACAAUCUAGCCAAGCAGAUACUUUCUGUAAAAAAAUUCAUUGCACUAACGUACAGUUUAAAAGAUAAGGUGCAUUAGGUCCAUUUUAGAAUGACAAUGAUGAAAAAAUUUAAACGUUUUGAAUGACUAUUUUCUUUAUAUUCGACAAUAUUAUAGAUGUUUAUUAUAUAUAAGGAGUGGCUAUAACAAACACUUAAAAUAUAGCUGUAAUAAAGUAAAAAUUAAUAAAAUAGGUACGCAAUAUUUUCAGCCCUCAUAAUAUAUUUGGUAAAAUCUAUUGCAUUUCCUUGAUUGUGAAGUAUACGUACCUAGAUCUUGUAAUCAAUGUUUUUAAUAUACCAUAAAGCUAUUUUAGUCAAAAUAUACAUUUUUUCAUAAUAAGGAAAUACAAUAGGUAAGUACUAAGGGUCUAAUUAUUUUAUUCCUGGAGAUCUCUAAAUUGACAAGUCUUAAAAUACUACGCGCUGUUUUUUACAGAAAAUGUGAAAGACAAGCUGUGCCUGACAAUUUAUUGUGAUGAGUGAUCUAAAGAUUUAUUUCAUAUAUUCCUACCAAAAGCUUGCGUAUAUUUUUUAAUACUUGUCUAUGGUAUAGUGCAGAUAUUUUAAGUGUUUGAUAACUGUAAAGUCGUAAUGCAGUCCAUCGUUGUCCGAUCGUAGAGGCAAAACAUUAGGUACUACUGCCGAAUGGUCUGGCAGCAUUAUUCUGUGUAAUAAUUGAAGAAAAGCACAUAAUGAUUUACAAUAUGUAAAAAAGUUAUAGAAUUAAUUUAAUAAAAUUAUAAAUAAAAAAAUA